GUGCUCACUUUGGCAGCAGAUAUACUAAAAUUGGAAGAAUACAGAGAAGAAUUAGUAUGGCCCCUGCGUAAGGAUGACAUGCAAAUUCAUGAAGUGUUUCAUAUUUUU